GUGCUUGCUUUGGCAGCAUGUAUACUAAAAUUGGAAUGAUACAGAGAAGAUUAGCAUGGCCCUGCACAAGGAUGACAUGCAAAUUUGUGAAGUGUUCUAUAUUUUC
ensembl:snRNA U6 U6 spliceosomal RNA